rnacentral:lncRNA from 1 species
UAUGACUUCUGAAUAAUUCUUUGGUCAAAUGCCUCAGCUGGAAGACUGCCUGAUGGUCUGAUCUCCAUGCCAGUGUCCUAUAGAUCUAUGGAUUUGAACUGUCUUCAUCAUCACACCUCGAAAUGCUUGAUAAGACAAGCUGUUGCUUUCUCAUCUGAAGAUCCCCUUACAGAAGGACAACAAAUGACAUGAUUUUGGACUUCAAUGGGAAACUGUGGGAAAUCCCAGACAGCACUCCAACUCCAAACUGGUUACUGUGUGCAUUAACCUGCACCAUUCUUAAUCUGGUAUCGUAAUAUGCCAUGUGGACUCUGGAAGAUGGCACACAUUCCUUGGGGCUGUGAAUUGAAAACUGAAACAGUGAGCAGAUCAGGAAAAGAGCAUCGCUGAUGCACGCUAGCCAAACUAAGAAACAAGCCAUCGACUAAAGGUAUCCAGGGCUUAACCUGUAUGAAGUCUACUUAUCAUAUUUAAUGCAUGCGUUUCAAUGUGUGUUCAAUUUGAUGUCAUGUUUUAAAUAUCCUACUUCUGGUAGCCAUUUAAUCCCUCCCCC